UAUAGCAAGGGACUGCUCUCUGAAUAAACAAGUGUUAUUGUUCUAUGAGCUUAAAUCCUUAAUCUUUUGAGAACUGCACAUGGUACCAGGAGCACAGUACAAAGAAAGACAAAAAAAAUGGAGCAUCUCCUAACUCCAGAGGAGUUAAAGCUGUUCAGCAAUGCAGCAGAAAACUGGAAGACAUUUAAGCAGAGUUUCACCAUAUAUAUGAUAGCUAGUGGAGCUACAAAGAAGGAAGAUCCACUUAAGGUAGCUACUUUUUAAAUAUAGCAGGCUGGCAGCUCUGUUUCUUUACAAUAGCCUGCAACUUUCAGAAGCAGAACAGAAAAGCUAUGGUACAGUAAUAAAAAAGUUUGAGGAAUAUUGUAUACCUGAACAAAAUUAAACCUUUGAAUGAUAUAAUUUCCACAUGAGACUGCAGAAAGAAUGUGAGACAAUAGAGGAGUUUGUCAAAGACCUCAGACUGCUGAGCCAGACAUGCAACUUUGGAGAUCUAAAACAAUCUAUGAACAGAGAACAAAUAUUAUUAGGUAUAAGGGAUACAUGCAUUGGGAAUAUACUGCUAGAGAAUCUUGAGCUUAAUUUGGAAAAGGCAGUUAGAACGUGCCAAGCAGCUGAGAUAACAAAUGCCCAGCUGCAGAAGCUGAAGGAAAAAACAGAACAAGCUGAACUAGACAGGAUUAUAAGACUGCAAAAACCUAAGGCAACACACAAACAAUAUAGAAAAGAGGACUGCACUAUGAAGCAGGCAAGCAGAGGCCAAAGAGAAUUGCUUGAAGAAACGAUGGUCAGCUGCAGAUGCUGUAGGGAUUAACACAAACCCAUGCAAUGCCCUGCAUUUGACACUUAAAUUAGAAUUUAUGCUGGCUGAAGCAGAUGAAAAAGAAUGCCAAUACAACAUUUAAAGUCUUCCAGAACUGUCUUGCCAAGAAGCAAACUGGGUAUUUCACAGAGGAUGACACAGAUCUACCUCUAAGAUUAUAGUCUGCAUUGCGGAUGAGGAACCAAUGAAGGAAGGUAUGUGUGGGUGCAAUAGUAGAGGUCUAUGGAUGCUCAGUCCAAGUGUACAUGGUUUGACUGCUGUGAAGCUUUUAUUUUUGCAAGAAUAAGAGUGAAAUAGGGUUAUUACAUCCUUGUGCAGAAGAAGUGAGUUUUCAGGAUGAACUUAAAUGAAGGGUAAAAUA